rnacentral:sRNA from 2 species
GUGGCUUUGACUGUGGCGUUCAUUGCACAGCGUGAUAUUUCAAGCCAGCUCAUCAUGACCACAUCAAACCUCCACCAAGAUUUGAUUCCUCGUGGUUCUUAUAUCCGCCAUGUCCCAAGAACUAAUUCACUUUUUAGGACUCCCAGGAUGAAAGCGUACGUAAUCGCACCGUUUGGCCUGAAGUCAACAACUGAUCGCUGUGCCGCUGGCUCAGUUCGAGGCAUAACCGCGAAUAUUCCCUCAGACCUAAUAUUCUCUUGGACCCGAAAUCUUUCCCUGUAACAUUAAAGGAGCUACGCUACGAUUGAGGUUUAACUCCUUCGUUUUGAAAAUGUUAAUUCAGAUGACCAUAUCGAGAUUAUUUUGGAGGCUGUCGAACUAAUUCUUCUCGGACAAAACCAAUUGCGCGCCUCAAGAUUCCCCUGUACGUGUUCAUGUUCGACUGGCUAAGAGAUAUUUUCUAUCUUGAGCUCAAGUCUAAACCGAAAAAAUAAAAGAAAAGAGAAAUAAAAGAACUUUGGCUGUCUUUUCGGCACCAAACGAAAGCAAGAUCCAAAUAUAAUUAUAUUAUUGGAUCUCUACUUAUGUGGUUGAGUAAUUUGCUCAGCUACGUUAACACUGCCCUCGGACGUAUAAUGUCCGGUUGCAUUAUAAAACUCGUGUUUCAUAGAAACACGGGAUAAGAGCCACAUGAAUUAUAGAUUUGUGUGAUUUAAUACCACCCACCUCGCAAGCCAUUUUCUGAAUAGCUUGCAAGCGUUGAAAAAGAAAAAAAAACACCUUUCCAGAUCGCGGUUUGCCGUUCUAAAUUCAAAAAUGCAUUGCAAUAACGGUACAGUCACGUCUCACGUUUCGACGGCUGGCUGUCGCAUGUUAACGGCUACCUAACGGCUACCUAGCAAUCUUGUAAGUUUAGCUUUUCUCUCUCGCUCAAUCUCCCCUUUUUUUCUUUAUUUCUUCCUUUUUUUUAUCCUUUAUUUUUUGGCUAUAUUAAAGCUAUUGUUUCUAUUCAUUUUAUCCCUUACUUGCGCGAAAUCAAUGAAAUAUAAUCUCCCCGCACGUCAUUCUACUCCCAGCAAGAAAAACUUCCAAGAACGAAUCCAAAAACAGCAGAUAAUAAGUGAAGCAUGGAAGGAGAUUAUCAAACGAGCAUGGUACGUGAUAUAUCUUCCCUUCCUCUUAAGACAUGUUUUCGCCCUACCAGCAACAUUUCAUUCGUUAUUUCAAUCGCCAAGAUUCCCCCAAUCUUUCGAUCUCAACCGCCCUCUUCUCAUCUAGCGAGACUCUCCCUGCCUCCAAAAUUGCAGUGGUGACGAUCGUAUUCUUAAUGGUUGGUAAUCCACGAUUAUCCAGCUCUUCGAGCGUCACGCGUCCGUCGUUCAAGGCGCUUACGGCAUCAACAAACUUCUCAAAGCUGAUAUAGCCGUAGCCUGUCUGACCGCCGAAGUUGCCUUUUUCAUCAGGGGCAUAGCGCAUGUAAAACCUGCGAAGGGGCGUCAGCAAGAAAUGAGUCACUUUAGUUUAAAAGACUUGAAAAAAGAAAAAGAAAAAGAAAAAGAAAAAGAAAAAGAAAAAGAAAAAGAAAAAGAAAAAGAAAAAGAAAAAGAGCUUUCUUGUGCUGUUCUGUCUGAUGAGGUUGGCUCUGGGGCGCUGCACAAUAUUCUUUUUUCGCUUGUUGAUUGGAGGCAGGGGAUGUUUCAAGCGCGAGUGUGUGUUUUCGGGGCGGAGUAGAAUAUGUGCAACUUACGGGUUUAUCCAGGCGACGUUAGCUUGGCUAUCAUCUGUCACAUCAUAGCCACGCUUGGCUUGGUCGAUUCGGAUUUCGCCUCUCGAGCCCAUCCCUGAAGUUUCCAGAUGGUGUUAGUUCUCACCAAUUGCAAAACCCCCUUCCCAAAAGGCUUAUGAUAAAUAUAUAGGAUUGGGCGAGGAAUAGGAUGGCGGGGAACAAGAAAUCAAAAUCAUUCGCCUGAACCCGUACUUACAAUGGAAAUACUGAUUCGAAUGAACCCCAGCCUUUUGUGGCGCCGUCCAACUGGCAGUAUAGACCCCCGUAGCAAUCUUGCUCGGCUCGCCCUUCUUCCUCCACUCCACUAAUAAGGUAAUCGUAUCCUCCGUCUCCGGCACACAACCCAGCUCCACCGCGACACCCUUCGACGCCAUUGCGGUCACCUUCACCGGUGCAUAAUCCGGCACCAUACUCUCACAGAUAUCCACAUGAUGCGAAUUCAGAUAAUAGGAGAUAUCGCUAUCGCGGCCCGCCCAGGUCUUGAACGUCUCGAGCUGACUUUUGGGCUGGCUCAUGUAGCUGUAAAAGUAGUUGAAAUCGCCCAGGGUGCGUGCCUUGGCGCGUGCAUCGGAGUAAGCUGGAUCGAAGCGUUUGUGGUGCUCGACGAAGACGAGGACGCCGUGCUUGCGCGAUUCGUCGAGGAGGUGGAGAUGGUCUUUCAACAGCUUUGUAGCGGGCUUGGUGAUCAAGACGUGGAUCUUGCGCUGGAUGGCGUACAAGGCGAUGGGAUAAUGGGUGGUGUCGGGGGUGAAGAUUGUGAUUGCGGAACCCUGGGGUAGAGCAUCUAUGGCGGUUUUGUAGGCCUCUGGGUCCACUUGGUCGUCUGCUGGAAAUGAUUGAAAGGAGACAUCUAGGUUGUUAUAAACCUGGGAGAUGUUUUUCUGGAGGUGUUGUUCUGUUCCACGCGUUUUUAGGAGCUGAUUGGUGAACGAUAUUUAUCACCCCCUCUCCCCUGAGUUUGAUAUAGAAACAGCUGAAUGAAGGAAUCCAUAUAUGAAAGUUCACUCACUAAUAGCGGGAAACUUGGACCCGGACACUCCUACCAUGCUCAAAUUACCAACUUUACCUCUCCUGCGCAGAUCGAAAAGGGUCAGGCCCACAACACCAACUUUCUUGUCUGAACCGGAUGCGUGCCCGUCCACAAAACCAGUGGUGUAUUCUCCCGUUCCCACCUGCGAAACGGUAUAUCUGUAGUCAGAAAAUUUCCUCCUUCAAUCGAUUUACUCAGAGAUUGGGGAAAGCAACAGCCUCACCAUCAGAACACUUGGAGGAGCCAUCUUUGUUGUAAUCGGAAAUGUGCGUUUGUUUAUAACUGACUUUUUCAAUGAAACGAGUUCACGAUUGUGACGAUGGAAGGAUCAAUUAAAUGAAAGGGUAAGAAAGCUGCAAGACGAGAAAAAUGAGAAAGGA